GUUGUCAGUGAUGCUUCAACCCUAGUAUUCGAGUUUAAAUGACCAUGAGAAUACCUUACAUGCACUACCAUCUGAGACAUC